AGGACCUGUAUGUCUAGCAAAUUGAUGGUUGUCAACCGUUGUAUAUGCCGACAUUUUUAUUGAGGAGUAUGAUACUGGCGAUGAUGAUAAUCAUUUUAUCAGAGUAUGGACCUAUGACCAUUGACCAGAGCCGCAGCCAGGUCAUGUCCACCAGCUAGCAUACGGCUUGUUUACGCAGCUACAUCUUGCAUUACAGUGAAAACAACAGUGUGAUGUUGUAUACCAGAGAUGAUCCAUAUUAAGUUUUCGUUUGGAGUGGAUUUUCCAAUUUGAUCUGAAAUGAUAUGAUGAUCAUGGCCCUGGAAAGUGUGAGUGCUGCGUGUGUUACUUUCCAUAGGCAAGACCCCCGUGGAAUUCCGCAACUGGCUGAUGGAGAGGGUAUGGUUUACGUGCAGACUGGUGACUGAAGGAGUAACCAGAGAAUUGGAGAUGGAACACCCCCCCCCCCCUGGAAAAAAACUGAGGUCAUUAGAAAACAUGCUCCACAUUGCAAGCAAGAAGGACAGAUUUUGAAAUCCGACGGGACAAUCGUUAAAACAGUUCUUCUAAGAUAGAGUGGGCUGGCUACAAAGAUCAACGAGGUGGACCAUGAACAAGGCGCAGAUUAUGUAGUUGCUAUGC